AGUGAACGCUGGCGGUAGGCCUAACACAUGCAAGUCGAACGGCAGCACAGUAAGAGCUUGCUCUUACGGGUGGCGAGUGGCGGACGGGUGAGGAAUACAUCGGAAUCUACCUUUUCGUGGGGGAUAACGUAGGGAAACUUACGCUAAUACCGCAUACGACCUACGGGUGAAAGCAGGGGAUCUUCGGACCUUGCGCGAUUGAAUGAGCCGAUGUCGGAUUAGCUAGUUGGCGGGGUAAAGGCCCACCAAGGCGACGAUCCGUAGCUGGUCUGAGAGGAUGAUCAGCCACACUGGAACUGAGACACGGUCCAGACUCCUACGGGAGGCAGCAGUGGGGAAUAUUGGACAAAGGGCGCAAGCCUGAUCCAGCCACACCGCGUGGGUGAAGAAGGCCUUCGGGUUGUAAAGCCCUUUUGUUGGGAAAGAAAAGCAGCAGGUUAAUACCCCGCUGUUCUGACGGUACCCAAAGAAUAAGCACCGGCUAACUUCGUG
rnacentral:rRNA from 1 species